rnacentral:rRNA from 1 species
AGAGUUUGAUCAUGGCUCAGAACGAACGCUGGCGGCGUGCCUAACACAUGCAAGUCGCGCGAGAAAAGGGGGGCAACUCCCUGAGUAAAGCGGCGAACGGGUGAGUAACACGUAGGUAACCUACCCUCGAGCCUGGGAUAACCUACCGAAAGGUGGGCUAAUACCGGAUAUGACCACGGGAGCUGCGGCUCCUGAGGUGAAAGGUGGCCUCUGCUUGCAAGCUACCACUCAUGGAUGGGCCUGCGCGCCAUUAGCUAGUUGGUGAGGUAAUGGCUCACCAAGGCGAUGAUGGCUAGCUGGUCUGAGAGGAUGGCCAGCCACACUGGGACUGAAACACGGCCCAGACUCCUACGGGAGGCAGCAGUGGGGGAUAUUGCGCAAUGGGCGAAAAGCCUGACGCAGCGACGCCGCGUGGGUGAUGAAGGCCUUCGGGUCGUAAAGCCCUGUCGAGGGGAAAGAAACGGUUCCGACCCAACACGUCGGGACCCUGACGGUACCCCUAAAGGAAGCACCGGCUAACUCCGUGCCAGCAGCCGCGGUAAUACGGAGGGUGCGAGCGUUGUUCGGAAUCACUGGGCGUAAAGGGCGUGUAGGCGGUCUGUUAAGUCUGAUGUGAAAGCCCGGGGCUCACCCCCGGAAGUGCAUUGGAUACUGGCGGACUCGAGUCCCGGAGAGGAGGGUGGAAUUCCUGGUGUAGCGGUGAAAUGCGUAGAUAUCAGGAGGAACACCGGUGGCGAAGGCGGCCCUCUGGACGGUGACUGACGCUGAGNNNCGAAAGCGUGGGGAGCAAACAGGAUUAGAUACCCUAGUAGUCC